rnacentral:rRNA from 1 species
CAACCCUUGUCUUCAGUUACCAUCAUUUAGUUGGGGACGUCUGGAGAGACUGCCGGUGACAAACCGGAGGAAGGUGGGGAUGACGUCAAAUCAUCAUGCCCCUUAUGACCUGGGCUACACACGUACUACAAUGGCGUAUACAACGGGAAGCGAAAUGGUGACAUGGAGCAAAUCUCACAAAGUACGUCUCAGUUCGGAUUGAAGUCUGCAACUCGACUUCAUGAAGUCGGAAUCGCUAGUAAUCGCGGAUCAGCAUGCCGCGGUGAAUACGUUCUCGGGCCUU